AUGGUACUCCCUCCGUCCAGAAAUACUUGUCAUUGAAAUGGAUGUAUCUAGAUGUAUUUUAGUUCUAGAUACAUCCAUUUUGAUGACAAGUAAUUCCGGACAGAGGGAGUACUAU
rnacentral:pre_miRNA from 1 species